UGAUAACCUCUUUGUUCCACUUUUUUCUUGUUGUGAGGAACAGAGUGAGAACUUCCAAGCUCCCUACAUGCCAUACUGGAGACUGGAAUUC